AGCUCAACCAUUGGGGUUGCUCU
rnacentral:snRNA from 1 species